UAAUGGGUCAGCGACUUAUAUUCUGUAGCAAGGUUAACCGAAUAGGGGAGCCGAAGGGAAACCGAGUCUUAACUGGGCGUUAAGUUGCAGGGUAUAGACCCGAAACCCGGUGAUCUAGCCAUGGGCAGGUUGAAGGUUGGGUAACACUAACUGGAGGACCGAACCGACUAAUGUUGAAAAAUUAGCGGAUGACUUGUGGCUGGGGGUGAAAGGCCAAUCAAACCGGGAGAUAGCUGGUUCUCCCCGAAAGCUAUUUAGGUAGCGCCUCGUGAAUUCAUCUCCGGGGGUAGAGCACUGUUUCGGCAAGGGGGUCAUCCCGACUUACCAACCCGAUGCAAACUGCGAAUACCGGAGAAUGUUAUCACGGGAGACACACGGCGGGUGCUAACGUCCGUCGUGAAGAGGGAAACAACCCAGACCGCCAGCUAAGGUCCCAAAGUCAUGGUUAAGUGGGAAACGAUGUGGGAAGGCCCAGACAGCCAGGAUGUUGGCUUAGAAGCAGCCAUCAUUUAAAGAAAGCGUAAUAGCUCACUGGUCGAGUCGGCCUGCGCGGAAGAUGUAACGGGGCUAAACCAUGCACCGAAGCUGCGGCAGCGACGCUGAUGCGUUGUUGGGUAGGGGAGCGUUCUGUAAGCCUGCGAAGGUGUGCUGUGAGGCAUGCUGGAGGUAUCAGAAGUGCGAAUGCUGACAUAAGUAACGAUAAAGCGGGUGAAAAGCCCGCUCGCCGGAAGACCAAGGGUUCCUGUCCAACGUUAAUCGGGGCAGGGUGAGUCGACCCCUAAGGCGAGGCCGAAAGGCGUAGUCGAUGGGAAACAGGUUAAUAUUCCUGUACUUGGUGUUACUGCGAAGGGGGGACGGAGAAGGCUAUGUUGGCCGGGCGACGGUUGUCCCGGUUUAAGCGUGUAGGCUGGUUUUCCAGGCAAAUCCGGAAAAUCAAGGCUGAGGCGUGAUGACGAGGCACUACGGUGCUGAAGCAACAAAUGCCCUGCUUCCAGGAAAAGCCUCUAAGCAUCAGGUAACAUCAAAUCGUACCCCAAACCGACACAGGUGGUCAGGUAGAGAAUACCAAGGCGCUUGAGAGAACUCGGGUGAAGGAACUAGGCAAAAUGGUGCCGUAACUUCGGGAGAAGGCACGCUGAUAUGUAGGUGAAGUCCCUCGCGGAUGGAGCUGAAAUCAGUCGAAGAUACCAGCUGGCUGCAACUGUUUAUUAAAAACACAGCACUGUGCAAACACGAAAGUGGACGUAUACGGUGUGACGCCUGCCCGGUGCCGGAAGGUUAAUUGAUGGGGUUAGCCGCAA
rnacentral:rRNA from 1 species